UCAAGUGAAUAAGAGCAUAAGGCGGAUGCCUUGGCACUGGGAGCCGACGAAGGACGUGACAAGCUGCGAUAAGCUACGGGGAGGAGCACAUAUCCGUCAAUCCGUAGAUUUCCGAAUGGGGGAACCCACCUAUAGUAAUGUGUAGGUAUUUUCGUAUGAAUCUAUAGUACGAAUAAAGGCAACCCGGGGAACUGAAACAUCUAAGUACCCGGAGGAAGAGAAAGAAAAAUCGAUUUCCUAAGUAGCGGCGAGCGAAAGGGAAAGAGGCCAAACCGUUAGUUUACUAACGGGGUUGUGGAUCACAGCCGUGGUAGAUACAAGUUUAGCAGAAGACAACUGGAAAGUUUGCGACACAGAGGGUAAUAUCCCCGUAUGCGAAAAAUGAGUAUCACCUAUGUGACACCAGAGUAGGACCGAACACGUGGAAUUCGGUUUGAAGCCGGGGGGCCCACCCCCCAAGCCUAAAUACUACCCAGUGACCGAUAGUGAAUAGUACCGUGAGGGAAAGGUGAAAAGGACCCCGGGAGGGGAGUGAAAUAGAACCUGAAACCUUAUGCUUACAAGCAGAGGGAGCGCAAGUGACCUCGUACUUUUUGUAGAACGGGCCAACGAGUUAUGGUAUGCAGCGAGGUUAAGGUGCUGGAGCACUGGAGCCGUAGAGAAAUCGAGUCUGAAAGGGCGAAAGUUGCAUGCUGUAGACCCGAAACCGGGUGAUCUAUCCAUGUCCAGGUUGAAGUAACUGUAAUAGGUUAUGGAGGACCGAACUUAUAUCUGUUGAAAAAGGUUAGGAUGAGGUGUGGAUAGGGGUGAAAUUCCAAUCGAACUCGGAUAUAGCUGGUUCUCCUCGAAAUAGCUUUAGGGCUAGCCUCGUAGUAAGAUACCUGGGGGUAGAGCACUGAAUGUUCUAGGGGCCUUCACCGGUUACCGAAAACUAUCAAACUCCGAAUACCAGAGUAUCAUCUACGGGAGUCAGACUAUGUGAGAUAAGUUUCAUAGUCGAAAGGGAAACAGCCCAGACCGUCAGCUAAGGUCCCAAAAUAUAGGUUAAGUGGAAAAGGAUGUGGGGUUGCACAGACAGCUAGGAUGUUGGCUUAGAAGCAGCCAUUCAUUCAAAGAGUGCGUAAUAGCUCACUAGUCGAGUGACCCUGCGCCGAAGAUAAACGGGGCUAAAACCUAUUACCGAAGCUACGGAUACUUAAUGUAUGGUAGAGGAGCGUCGUAUACGGGUUGAAGCAGUAUUGUAAGGUAUUGUGGACUUUAUACGAGAGAGAAUGUUGGCAUGAGUAGCGCGAGGCAGGUGAGAAUCCUGCCCACCGAAAAUCUAAGGUUUCCUGAGGAAGGUUCGUCCACUCAGGGUUAGUCGGGGCCUAAGCCGAGGGCGAAAGCCAUAGGCGAUGGAUAACAGGUAGAAAUUCCUGUACCACCGAAGGUUGUUUGAAUGAUGUGGGGACACAGGAGGAUAAGCUGAGCACGCCGUUGGUAGAGCGUGUCCAAGCGUCAAGGGAGUAUGAAUAGGCAAAUCCGUUCAUAUAUAUUCUGAGGCGUGAUGGGGUGGUCAAUAGACCGGAAGCAGCUGAUUUCACACUGUCAAGAAAAGCCGCUAAUUAGACCUAAGGUGCCCGUACCGCAAACCGACACAGGUAGAUGAGGAGAGAAUCCUAAGGUGAGCGAGCGAACUAUUGUUAAGGAACUCGGCAAAAUAACCCCGUAACUUCGGGAGAAGGGGUGCCUGCUUCGGCAGGCCGCAGUGAAAAGGCCCAGGCAACUGUUUACCAAAAACACAGGUCUCUGCAAAAGCGAAAGCUGAAGUAUAGGGGCUGACGCCUGCCCGGUGCUGGAAGGUUAAGGGGACGUGUCAUCGCAAGAGAAGCACUGAACUUAAGCCCCAGUAAACGGCGGCCGUAACUAUAACGGUCCUAAGGUAGCGAAAUUCCUUGUCGGGU
rnacentral:rRNA from 1 species